UAGGGAAUCUUCCACAAUGGACGCAAGUCUGAUGGAGCAACGCCGCGUGAGUGAAGAAGGUUUUCGGAUCGUAAAGCUCUGUUGUUGGUGAAGAAGGAUAGAGGUAGUAACUGGCCUUUAUUUGACGGUAAUCAACCAGAAGGUCACGGCUAACUACGUGCCAGCAGCCGCGGUAAUACGUAGGUGGCAAGCGUUGUCCGGAUUUAUUGGGCGUAAAGCGAGCGCAGGCGGAAGAAUAAGUCUGAUGUGAAAGCCCUCGGCUUAACCGAGGAACUGAAUCGGAAACUGUUUUUCUUGAGUGCAGAAGAGGAGAGUGGAAUUCCAUGUGUAGCGGUGGAAUGCGUAGAUAUAUGGAAGAACACCAGUGGCGAAGGCGACUCUCUGGUCUGCAACUGACGCUGAGGCUCGAAAGCAUGGGUAGCGAACAGG
rnacentral:rRNA from 1 species